UGUAAAUACCCUCCUUGGGUGUUUCCUCCCUAGACUUAAACCGCGCCCCGUGCGCGGUUCUUUUUUGGCGAUA
rnacentral:sRNA from 1 species